UACAGAGGUCUCAAGCGUUGUUCGGAUUCAUUGGGCGUAAAGGGUGCGUAGGUGGCGCCGUAAGUCAGGUGUGAAAUUUCGGAGCUUAACUCCGAAACUGCAUUUGAUACUGCGGUGCUUGAGGACUGGAGAGGAGACUGGAAUUUACGGUGUAGCAGUAAAAUGCGUAGAGAUCGUAAGGAAGACCAGUGGCGAAGGCGGGUCUCUGGACAGUUCCUGACACUGAGGCACGAAGGCCAGGGGAGCAAACGGG
rnacentral:rRNA from 1 species